CUCCCCCCGGCUGGCCUCCUCGCGGUGCCUUCGCCAAGCGCUGAGUGGAAACAUCUGAGGGGCUCUGGCGGCUCCCAGGCGGAUCUGGACACGGGUUUCUUCCUCUCCAGCUCCAGGCUGCCAUCUGGCCCGUGCGCCGCGGCUGCUGUUCUCGGCGGUUCUGGGGUGAGAGGCCACAGACCGAGGGGAGGCCCAGCCCGGCAUCACCCCACAGCCCACGUGGACCCAAGGCAGCUCCGAGGAGCAGAGCAGAGUGAGCAGGAGCAGCCCAGCACCCGCAGUGCCCAGCCCUGUCCCCACCGCUACCUGAACUGUGGACGCCCACGGCAGGGCAGACCCAGCCAUCCUCAGGGCUGGAGGGGUACGCCAAGGGAGGCACCAGGCAGAGGGCCUGCCACUGCCACCGUCACCAGACCAGGCCCCACAGAGCCUGAGAGCUGUCAAGGGAGGCACGGAGCAGUGUGGGGCUGCGCGGCAGGUGUGGGCUGCAACCAGCACCUCUGUGUUCCGACCCACUGCUGGCCCCCCUCCCCAGUGGAGCACCACUGGCCCUCAGAGCCCUGAGGAGGAAAUGUGGGCAGCUCUGUGCAGCCCCAGGAAGGCCCACCCCUGCAGCGGAGGCUGCUGGCUCCUGUCAGCCGCUUCCUCAGUCUCCCCAGCUGCACCCUCCACCUCCCCAGCCCCCCAGCCUCCUCCUCAGCCUCCCAGGCCCCAGCCCCACCCUCCACCUUCC
rnacentral:lncRNA from 1 species